GACGGAGGGUGCAAGCGUUGUUCGGAUUGACUGGGCGUAAAGGGCGUGUAGGCGGUUUGUCAAGUCGGGUGUGAAAGCCUGGGGCUCAGCCCCAGAAGUGCAUCCGAAACUAGCGAGCUAGAGCGCGAUAGAGGAGGGUGGAAUUCCUGGUGUAGCGGUGAAAUGCGUAGAGUAUCAAGGAGGAACACCGGCGGCGAAGGCGGCCCUCUGGAUCGUUGCUGACGCUGAGACGCGAAAGCGUGGGGAGCAAACAGG
rnacentral:rRNA from 1 species